rnacentral:rRNA from 1 species
AGUGAACGCUGGCGGUAGGCCUAACACAUGCAAGUCGAACGGCAGCACAGUAAGAGCUUGCUCUUACGGGUGGCGAGUGGCGGACGGGUGAGGAAUACAUCGGAAUCUACUUUUUCGUGGGGGAUAACGUAGGGAAACUUACGCUAAUACCGCAUGCGACCUACGGGUGAAAGCAGGGGAUCUUCGGACCUUGCGCGAUUGAAUGAGCCGAUGUCGGAUUAGCUAGUUGGCGGGGUAAAGGCCCACCAAGGCGACGAUCCGUAGCUGGUCUGAGAGGAUGAUCAGCCACACUGGAACUGAGACACGGUCCAGACUCCUACGGGAGGCAGCAGUGGGGAAGAUUGGACAAUGGGCGCAAGCCUGAUCCAGCCAUACCGCGUGGGUGAAGAAGGCCUUCGGGUUGUAAAGCCCUUUUGUUGGGAAAGAAAAGCAGCAGGUUAAUACCCCGCUGUUCUGACGGUACCCAAAGAAUAAGCACCGGCUAACUUCGUG